AUCAACCAUCAUUUCACAUAGGUGUAAAUGAUGCACAGCUCUGAUCUCGGAAGCUGAACAGGUUCGGGCCUGGUCAGUACCUGGUUGGGCAACUGCCUGGGAACACUGGGUGUUGUAGGCN
rnacentral:rRNA from 1 species